rnacentral:tRNA from 1 species
CGAGCAGUAGUUCGGCGCGGUAGAGCUUUCGCCUCAUAUGCGAAAAGACUCGGGUUCAACGCCGGGCUGCUUUG